rnacentral:lncRNA from 1 species
UGUUUGCUCGUUUCCCGUGGAUGUGCGGUUCUUCCGUGGUUUCUCUCCAUCUGAGGAGCUUUGGGGGAACAUUUUUAGUUCCCCUACCACCAAGCCUUAUGGCUUAUUUAAGAAAACAUAUCAAAAUUCCACGAGAUUUUUGACGUUUUGAUAUGUUCUGGUAAGGUUUUUUUAGACACGUCCUCCAUACUUUUUGAUAUUUGUAAUAUUUUCAGUCAUUUUUUUCAUUUUUAAGGAAUAUUUUUUUGUUGUGCCUUUUGGUUGAUACUUGUGUGUGUAUGGUGGACUUACCUUUCUUUCAUUGUUUAAAUAUUCUUGCCCAUCGGGGCCACGGAUACCUGUGUGUCCUCCCCGCCAUUCCAUGCCCAACGGGGCUUUGGAUACUUACCUGCCUUUUAAUUCUUUUUUUCUUAUUUUUUUCCUAAACUUGCCCAUCUGGGCUGUGGAUACCUGCUUUUAUUCUUUUUUUCUUCUCCUUAGCCCAUCGGGGCCAUGGAUACCUGCUUUUUGUUAAAAAAAAAAAAAAAACCUUCUUUCUCGGUCCAUCGGGACCUCGGAUACCUGCGUUUAGUCUUUUUUCCCAUGCCCAACGGGGCCUCGGAUACCUGCUGUUAUUAUUUUUUUUUCCUUUUCUUUUGCCCAUCGGGGCUGUGGAUACCUGCUUUAAUUUUUUUUUUCACGGCCCAACGGGGCGCUUGGUGGAUGGAAAUAUGGUUUUGUGAGUUAUUGCACUACCUGGAAUAUCUAUGCCUCUUAUUUGUGUGUACUGUUGCUGCUGAUCGUUUGGUGCUGUGUGAGUGAACCUAUGGCUUAGAAAAAACGACUUUGCGCUUAAACUGAGUGGGUGUUCAGGGCGUGGAGAGCCCGCGUCCGCCAUUAUGGUUUCUGCGUGAUACGGCUAUUCUCGAGCCAGUUACGCCAAGAAUUAGGACACCGAGAAGCACAGCGGACUGGAUAGAAGCAACCAAUUGCGCUGCGCUAGCUAAAGGCUUUCUUUAUAUGUGCGGGGUUGCGGGAUUCGCCUUGAUUUGUGGUAGCAUUUGCGGGGUUGUGCGAGCCGGAAGUAGAAAGCCAAGGAGUGCUCGUAUUAGUGUGCGGUGUUGCGCGGAAGCCGCAGAGGACUAGGGGAUAGGGCUCAGCGUGGGUGUGGGGAUUGGGCAGGGUGUGUGUGCAUAUGGACCCCUAGCGGGGUCCCCCGUGGCUUUAAGGGCUGCUCAGAAGUCUGUAAAAUGGCGGCUCGGGGGCUCCACCCGAGGCUCGACAGCCCAACCUUUGUUCUGGUGUGUAGCAAUGGAUAUAGGACAUUUAGGUCGUACAGGAAAAGAUGGCGGCUCAAGUUCUUGGUGCAGUAUAACGCAAAGGGCUUUGUGUUUCACAUGUCAGCUUCAUGUCUGAGUUAGCCUGGAGAGGUGGCACAUGCUCUUGAGUGUGUCUAAGAUGGCGGAAGUCAUGUGACCUGCCCUCUAGUGGUUUCUUUCAGUGAUUUUUUUUUUGGCGGGCUUUAGCUCCUUGGCGGGCUUUGCCCGAGGGUACACUUGGUGCAUUAUGGUAGGGCGUGGUUGGUCCUAUCUUGUGCCACACGAAGCUGUGGCAAGGCUAUGUGGAAGUGUUGGUUGCCACUUGACGUAACUCGUCAGAAAUGGGCACAAGUGUGAAAGUGUUGCUGUUUGCUUGACUUAACCAGUUAGAAACUGUGCAUUACUGCUUGGUGGCCAGGAUGGAAUUAGAGUGUGAUGAGUCACUGUCCCAUAAGGACGUGAGUUCGCUUGGUACUUCACAUGUGUCUUUAGUCAUCAGUUUUUCGAAGUGCCUGCCCAGGUCGGGAGAGCGCAUGCUUGCAAUUCUAACAUUGAAGUGUUGAAUGAUGAUGUCUGAUCCGAUUAGAGAGACCGAGGCUUCGGGUUCUUGAGGUCGAUGUGAAUCAUUGAAACCUCACCUAUUAAAAGAAAGAAAAGUAUUUAAGGCCAUUUCAAGGACAUUUGACUCAUCCGCUUGCGUUCAUAGUCUCUUACAGUGCUCUAUACGUGGCGGUGCAAGCUAAGACUCAGCCCGUCCCGUUCCUUUGUAUUGUUCAGUGGCCUAAGACUAGUCUACUUACACCUUGGCCUCUGAUUUAGCCAGCACUGAUCUCAAGCGGUUCUCUAAGCCUACUGGGUAGAAGUGGUGACUUUGGCCAGAGUCAUAGUGGAUCACAAAUCACUGGUCAAGCGGUAGAAUCCUACCUGCUUCCAGAAUCUACCCCAUGACUAUUGCUGGGGUUGGGUUUUGAUUUCAAUGAAUAGUUUGGAUGCCAACAACAAGUCUGAUAGUGUGCUUUGCUAGCGUUUGGAUUUAAAACCGAAGGGAUUGUUUUCAAAAUGUAUUUAGGGAUUUGCUUACUUGUUGAAUUUAUUUUAAUUACCUUUAGUGAAUUUGGAGUCCUUAAAGUUUUCAAUAAUUUUUUUGGCAGAUGAUACUCAAAUUACUUGGCACUUAAAUGUACUUUCUUUCAAACUCAUCUACUGAACUACUCUUAAAAAUUUUAAGUCUUAUGGCACAGAUACUGUUAAUGUAAAGUGAACAUUAUGGCUGGAUAUCAGGAGUAUUUGAGGCUCUAGACCAGUUCAGGCUUUGCUUUUGUUGCUAUUGUUGAUGCUAUAUUGACUAAUGGUUUUACUUGUCAGCAAGAGUCUUGAAUUGUAGUGCUCUGUAUCCUCUAUCAGACUUACUGUUAUAAUAGUAAUAUUAAGGCCUACAUUUCAACUUUCUGUGUGUUCUUGCCUUUAUGGCAUCUAGAUUCUCCUCAAGACUCAGCAAAUAGUGCUGCUGCUAUUGCUGCCCCAGCCCCAGCCCCAGCCCUGCCCCUGCCCCACCCAACCAACCCAGUCCAGUCCAGUCCAUCCCUGCCCCAGCCCAAUCCUAGCCCCAGGCCCAGAUACUUUCAGACCUAUCCCUAGCCCACUUCUGCCUAGAGAAAUUCAAAUCUUCAUUGAUUCAGAUAGAAUUUCACUUAAUGCAUACAGUCCUACUAUUGCUAACAUGCAGUGCUCAUAACUCAGCCUAUAAGACUGAGAUAUCCCUAUCUAUACCCCAUGCCCCCUCCAUACUGACUUUCAGAGUCNNNNNNNNNNNNNGAAUUUCACUUAAUGCAUACAAUCCUAUUGCUAAAAUGCAGUGUCCAUCACUCAGCCUAUAAGACUGAGAUAUCCCUAUCUAUACCCCAUACCCCCUCCAUACUGACUUCCAGAGUCAUGGAAUUUCACUUUGCAUACAGUCCUACUUUACUUGUCCAUGGACAAGUAAACAAAGAACGCUUGUCCUUCAUGCUAAUAAAGAUACACCAAUCGAACAAGAGUUUUAUAUCAGAGACUUGCCAUGGAGGUAUCAUCUCAAGUCUCCUUUCCUUUAAGGAAAGAAAACCAUUCUGUCAUUGCUGCAGUAGUCACAGCCCCAAGUUUCUAAGCAGUGUUCAGUCGUCUUUUCUCACGCAUUACCUUGAGUACUGAAUAAUUCUAUCAGAAAUAUUUUAUCCAUUGGAUUAGACCCUAGCUAGUCCAGCCCUGUGUGCAUUUAGCAAAGGGGCAAACACAGGUCUGUUAUCAGACAGUUAAAGUGCUCAGUCCCAAUUCUCAAGGUAUUGGCCAUUAAAGGGGGUAGAGUACUAUACUGUUUGCAUGCUGUCAUGGGUGCUAUUGCCCCAGGUCACAUCUUUCUAACUGAUGGAGAUACAUUUAUUUGCUCAUGAUAUUGUAUACUAGUCUCACAUGCUUUCUUAUUUCAGCCAAAAACCUCUGCACUGGGACAUUUUAUGUGGAUAAUCCUGACUAGGAAUUGAAUCUUUUCUCAAGGUCCUAAUACUUACUACCUUUGCUUUAUGUAAAGAGGGUGCUGAUUACUUAAUGCCUCUUCUACAAUUGUGCCAAAAUUGCAGUUGUUCAAGUCCCCUUCUGUUAGUAACCAAGAUCCCAUACCCUCAUACCCUAAUGGGUGACAAUCAAGGGUGCCAACCAAUAAGACCACUUCUCUGUUCUGGUCUUUCUGCUGUGCUGGGGAAUCAAACCUAGAGUCUUGUGCAGGCUAGUAAAGCACUCUGUCAUAGAGCUACAGCCCCACCGUGUGGUGGUUUGAGAGAACAGUCUCUUAUGUAGCCUGGGCUGGGCGGGACUUACAGGCAUUGCCACCUGUAAUGUAUACAUUUGUGCCUGUUGUGUGCGCAGCUGCAUUUGUCCCUCUUCCUAAGCAUUGGAUAAAGAAAUCAAACUAACUCAAGUCAUUUUGUUGGUAAUCAAGAAGACCUUUGGUCUGUUCUGUUUUUAACUUCCAGGUUGGCCUGGAACUUAGUAUAUAGCCCGGGCUAGCCUUGAGCUCAGGAUCUAGCCUGUGUUUAACAAGUGUUGGCAUAUCUGGUUUCUACCACUAUGUCCUGCAUGCAGUCUCUCACAUUGUGAAUGUGCAUAUGUCAUUUCACUGUAGUAAUCUGCAUCUGGUGAAGACCUUUCCUUAUUUGUAUUGCAGUAUUUAAGAUCCUUAACAUAGUAAAUGUGCACAGUGUUAACUGGAUUGUUCAUAUUCUCAUGUCCACAGUUGUGCCUUUUAGAUCAGGACUCCUGUACUUAGCAAAGCAAAGAGGCUCACUAAUAUAAAGCCUCUUUCAUGAGACUAUAGAUUGAAACGAUUCCAAUACGGUCAAUGGUCCUUCAAGGUAAGACUUCUGUCUCUGAUCAUUCGUAUCCUCUUUGCUUUAUGGAAUUAUGUAUGUGCUGUUCACUUGAAACCCCUUCCUCAAACUAUUUAUGUACAUACUGGCAAUUUUAGUAGGAUCAAUUUUACUCUUAACUUUGAAGUACAGAAGUGGUGUUGACCUAAGGUCCCAUUUUGUGGCUUGCUAAUAAUGACUGAUUGUAGUAGGCCUUUUCUGUUCACUACAGAAGGAAACCUGAACAGCGUAAAACUGUAAUGGCCACAAGCAUGUACCUUGCAUAUUAGUGUGCAUUUACUGCACACAUUCCGUUUGGAUAUGAUCCUACUUUCAAACCCUUUUGCAGUACAGCAAGGGUCACUAAUCUUUUGGCUUCUUCAUCUUCCUGGACACUGGAUAAGGCUACCCACUCCUUUCCACUCUUUAAUUUCCAGGACUAUUACUUUAAAGACUUAAUAUUUGCAUAAAGGAUGGGGUUUUUAAUUGAUCACAUGUCCCUUGAACAUAAAUGUACAUAACAGGGACAUGAUCCUUUCAUUUUAAUAAAAAUACUUGGCCAGUUAAUGUGUAAACUUACACUUAUCCACAACCUUAUUACUUUUUGGACCAUUGUAUCUCUUGCACUACUGCAAGUGAUACUGUUUAUCCGCCAAGGUCCCUGCUAGUGGACCAUUAAUAUACAGUGAAUCUCCCUUUGUCUUUGCCAGUAAACAAAGGUCAUACUCCUUCACCUUUUAUUUGCAGUAUAUCAGGAUAUGCUGAUCAACAAGGCUGCAUUCUUUUGGACUGUUAUCGUAUAUUAAAUGUAUGCAUAUGCACUGCCUCCUGCUCUGUGCACUAGAAAAGGGUCCCACUCACUUCCUUAGCACCUUCAACAGGAAGUGAUACUAAGCUCAAGACUUUCAUUUGGAAAGUUCACAUGAACAAUGUCUAAGCACUUCUCUAAGAACUACUGUACCCUCUUCUCCGCUUUAAAGCAGAAAGGGUUGUACGAAGUGCUCUUCAUUUGGACUUGAGUGCAUUAUUGCAGUUAGUUGUCCAUCAUUACCUUUGGAGUCGGAUUUUACAUCCUUGUACUCUUUUGACACCAGAGGCACAUUAAUUAUUUCUGAGCACUUCUCUUGUCAAUAUUAAUCUGUACCCUUACACAUAUGACUGGUACAGCAGCAAAGGUUCUGAAAUGCCUACCUUUGGACUGGGGCUGCUGAGCAGUACUAACUAUUAACAACCUCAGCAUUUGGAUUACUGUGCAAAAAUGGCAAGGGCCUGUGUGCUCUCUUUGCAUACCAUCAAGGCUACUGAGCCCCAGAAUUGCUAAGUUAUGCACAUUUCUAACUAUGAACGUCUGGAAUAUUUUAUCCUCAUAACUCCCCUUCACAUUAUUGCAGAGGUUGCUGAGCCCCCUAACAUACCCGGUACUGUCAAUGAGCACAGGGGCUCUGACGAAUGACUUGCUUUCUUCUUUAAACUUAUUUUGGGACUGUUAAUAGGCACAAUGGCAGUUCUGGAUGGUUUAUUUUCUACUCCAAUUUGAGCAAAUCCCCUCCUCUAGUUUCCCAAUGAUAUGAUAUAAUAAAGUACAGCAAUAUGUACACCCAACAAUGACCCAUAUUUCGACCCUUUUGGCAUGGCUUUAAUAUAUACAAUCCUAAAUAGUCACCAUCUCACACCUUAUAGUGUUCCUUUUGCCCGGCCCCUAGUUUGUCCAUUGACCACUCUUCUGAAUCACUAAUUCUCACAAACCCAUCAUUAAGGAAGAGUUUGUGCACUUUCCCGAUUCCAUCACUCCAUCCCUUUUGCCUCUUUGAACAGUAUUGACUGGGCAAAGCCCUUCUCUUGACUUAAAGUCAACAACACCAGUUUACUCACUUCAUAUGGCUACAGUGUCUCAGUUGCCUUCUCCUUGCUCCCACUGAACAGAGAGACACCUCGAAUUCUUACAUUAUUCUGGGUAAUGUUAAUUACCCCAAACACCCUAUGUGUCAUUAAUAAAUUUUGGUGUAUUUAUACACUGAAUAGCAAAAGCGGGCCAAAACUAGGUGGAUGAGCCUUCAAUCUUGCAUUUCUAAAUUACUCCAAUUCCAACUGCUGGCACAUUCUAGGGCCAGAAACCACUCUUGCCUACCUUUAUUAAUGCUUUAUUGUGCAAAAUAUUGCAGGCAAGUAGCUCAGGGAGUUGGAUUGCCACCUUUUACUUGGGGCUUUCCUUUACAGUAUGAAGUGAAAAUUGUCUUCCUGAGAAGGAAGCUUAGCACUUUUCUCUCCAUUCUUCCUCCAGGAGGGAGCCAACUGUCUGCUUAAGAAACUUUAAGCCCGAUUUUGUAUAUUGCUACUGUACAGGACCAACUGCCAGAAAAGUUAUUGAUAAUUUUAUUCCUUAAGAAAGGCAUUUGGAUUGCAAGGUGGAUUGACUGUGAGAUCAUUAGCUUUUGUGAAGUAAAAAUAACCAUUUGUGUUAUGUUUCUGAAGAGUAAGCAGUGUCUCAGUGUACUGAGGGUGGUGAGUCUGGAAAGCUCACUGCAACUAUUGCAGAAUGUUUAAGACAAGUAUCUUUGCUUGGUCUUUACUACAAGUUUAACAAAACGAAAAAGUCAGUCUUUGUGUGGCCUUUAGUAUGAUUAACUUUUAGGAAGAUGGCCUAAGCCUUCUAAUCUAUAUUUUGUCUGACAUAUUGGUCACCAGUCCCUGCUUAUUUUUAAAAGGUGGCUGUGGAUGGAUUAAAUUCGAGAACAUGUCAAGUCACCUUUGAAAAUCAUAGGCCAUCACAUUUAAUUAAUUCAUUCUAUCCACCAUUAAAUUCUGGCAACAAUUUGAAGUAGCUUGAAAAUUCCUAAAGUGGGAAUUUAUUUUAGAGAUGAUGGAACCUGUUUCCCCACUUUACAUUUUAAAAUAUAUAUGCCAGGAUCUAAUCAUUCCUUUAAAUGUACAUUUCCAAGAGAGAUCUGCCUAGUAAGAAAAGAGCUUUCUCUAGUGCAAAGGGUGUUUUGUAGCCGCCGAGUACUUAAGGUCUUUUUUUGGAGCUAUUGUGUAUGAGUGUAUGUAUGUGUGUACAUGCAUGUUCCUGCGCGUAGUCAUUCAUUCACAUGGUGAUCAGACAACAAUGGGAGCUGGUUCGUCUAUCUUGUGGGUCCUGGAGAUCAAACUCAGAUCAUCAGGCUUGGCAGCAAGUGCCUUUACCCUCCGUGUGCCAUCUUGCCAUCCCGCUGCUGAGUGUUUGAUAUGACAUUGCUGAUGAAAAUGGUCAUCACAACAGCAGUUCUCCCGGCAUUACUGAAAAAUGAUACUAUUUUUCGGAGGAGGAUGUUCAAGUAACUCAUCCAGUGCAGGAUUCAGGCUGAACUACUGCUCCUCAGUUACAUCAGACUCUGGCUGUUUAAGACUACAGGAUGAAUUUGGAGUCUGUUUUGUGGCCCUGCCUCAAGAAGAAGGAUUGCCUGGAUUUAGAGGAGUGAAGAGUGCUGGAGAGAGCCCAAAGGGACAAUCCCUAUGUGAGAUUCAAGGACUGCCAGCAGCCGUUACGGCUACAUUAUUACAUCUCAGCAGAUCUUCUCUUCAAGUCCUGCUACUCUGAACAAAAAGCUUACAGGCCACAGGGAGAAAAAAAUAGAUCUCCCCCCAGAAUUGUGGGCUUGUUGCUUUGCAGUGCUGGCGACCUAUUCCCUUUGACGAUCCCUAGGUGGAGAUGGGGCAUGAGGAUCCUCCAGGGGAAUAGCUCACCACCACUGGGCAACAGGCCUAGUCCAUAUUUCAGUGAGACGCUUUCCUGAACCCAGCAAGGAAGACAAAGGCUCAAAGAAUGCCACCCUACAUCAAAAUAGGAGAAAAGCUCCUGCAAUAGUGGCACUGACCUUCCGAGGAAGCCAUUCUGCUCUAUUUGGUUCUCUCUCCAGAAGUUAGGAGAACUUUGCCAGCUGUUUACAUACUUCAAGAUGCACUGCUACACUACUCAUGCCAUAUAAUACAACAAUGCCAUCUACCAAAUAUUACCCUUCCCCAAAGCAGCACAGAAAACUGGGUCUUCAGCAUGAUCAAGCAAUGUGAACACACAAAAGGAAGGCAGCUUUAUAAAUGACCCGAGGAUCAACAUGCCUGACUGCAGCAUCUUAAAAGCAAUAGAAGGAGUGUGUAUUGUGUUGUGUGUCUAUUUCUUGUUUUAUGUAUCUAUUUCUUCCUUGCUUUGUGUCUAAUUCUUUGUUAUAUCUAUUUCUUCCUUGCUUUGUGUGUCUAUGUCUCCUCCAGUUGUCUAAUUCGUUGUUGCAUCUAUUUCUUCCUUGCUUUUUUGUGUGUCUAUUUCUUCCUUGCAGUUGUGUCUAAUUCUUUGUUACAUCUAUUUCUUCCUUGCUUUUGUGUGUCUUUCUUCCUUGCAGUUGUGUGUCUAUUUCUUCCUUGCAGUUGUGUCUAAUUCUUUGUUACAUCUAUUUCUUCCUUGCUUUUGUGUGUCUAUUUCUUCCUUGCAGUUGUGUGUCUAUUUCUUCCUUGCAUUGUGUCUAAUUCGUUGUUGCAUCUAUUUCUUCCUUGCUUUGUGUGUCUAUGUCUUCCUUGUUUUGUGUAUCUACUUCUUCCUUGUGUGUCUAAUUCUUUGUUACAUCUAUUUCUUCCUUCCUUUGCAUGUCUCCUUCCUCCCUUUGUGUGUCUUCUGUCUGCAGUGUGUCUUACCUAUUCCCGUGUUUCUCCUACAUGUUCUUUCUUGCAGAGCUUUGAGCUUUGUUUCACUUUCUCUGGUGCCUGUGUGGUCUGCUUUGUCUUUGGUUGCUAUUUUUCUUAGCUCUUCUUUCACUCCUGCCUUUCAUGACUCCCCUUUGGGUCACAUGUUGCAUGCAUCCCUCUCUUUUUCUUGUGCUCACCGCACUUGUUCUUUGUUCGAGUUCUCUUUGUCAGUCCAUUUCAGUUUUCUUUCUGCUGCUUCUAUCCUUGUUUACAUUUCUUUCCUGCCUUUCUUGGGCCACUUUCUCUGUUUUCUUUUGUAUUUGUGUCUCUUUGCUGUUGGUGGAUUUCUUAUCUCAGCAUUAUUCUGUUGCUUUGUGUUUGCUUGUGUUUCUAUCUUCUACUUUCCUCCUUUCUGUUCACUUUGAGCAUUUCAGUCUCUUUACAAGUCUGUGUCUCUCUUGUAUUCUAAAGUAAUCCUUUCUUGGAUAUUUCUUUGUAUGUACAUGUGUGUGUGUGUGUGUGUGUGUUAUGUGUGUCAUGUGUGACAGGGGCUUCAUAGCCCCUUCCCAAUAGGUCCAGAAUGUCACCUGUGGAGCCGUUCCUCACACCAGACUGCCCUGAGAAAUAAUCUAAGACAAAAUACAUCAUUCCGUCCGGUCAGGAUUCAAGUGGCUCUGAAGUGAAGGCCCAAGUAGAAGACAGAAGUUUUGUGACUUGAGAUGUAAAAGGACCAAAAUACACAGAUGGCUCGUCUUGAGCUGGCUGGACAGAAUGCUGACAACCCAAAGAAGAGGAACUGUUUCUACAGGACACCUGUGACUUCUAACAGCGGAGAACUACGUAUGUCAUUAGACACAAAACCUGAGCUAAGUCCAAGCAUAAGACCUAAGGACCCAAUCCUAUAUGGACAGAAUGUUUAAGAGAUAAAGGCCUAUGGCCCAGAACUCUGAAAGGAUAUUUCUAUCCUUCUAUCCCCAAGACCAAGAAGGGAAAUUUGAAGAUGAGACCUGCCCCCCAACCGCAUCAUCCUUUUCCAUUUCUUAUAUUUCUAUUUAAGCUGUCUUCACUUGAGAUGUAAUUUUCAUUGUUGCCAUUGCCCAUAAAGGAAUACGUUUUAGCUGGAUAGUAUUGUGCAAGGGUCUGUUUUAAACUGGGUCUUAGCCAUUUGUUAAAUUGUUGACGUUUUACAACUUCCAUUUCUCUUCACAUCUGCUCCACUGGAGACAGAACCAAAUCCAGCCAGUGUAUAUAGCCUCACUAUUGAAACUCCCCUAGGAAUAAGCAUGCAUACAGAUACUGUAUUGCCAUCCUCCCUACCUCAGCAGCCCUAGGCUGACAAGAAAAGGAAAGCAUCAGGUUGUUAGGGAGAAAACAAUGUCAGGCUAUCUAGAGAAAAUAUAAAUAAAGAGUUGUUCCAGACCAAUGAGAAGAAUUAGACAAGCAAUAUGCAGAUGUGCCAACCCUCUGAGAAGCACCAGCCAGCGUCACCUUCCUUCUUUGGGCUUAGGUGAGCAGGGUAUGGACUUUCUAAUAAUGGUUUGGGGACAAAAUGAGGUCUGAACUCCCUGCUCAUAGUAGUGGCCGAGUAAUUUGGUGCAUUUCACCAAAGGAACUCCUGGGUCUAAUACCUACCUUUAAAAUUAAUGAUGAGAGACUCUGAGGACUAUUUAACGGGCUUAAUCUUUUUCGUGCCUCCCUCUUCUCUGUAAGAGGGAAGUUAAAUGACACGGGAUGAAAAAGUAACAUGUUCAUAGCACAUUGGCAAUCCUACAUGGUUAGUAUCUGAAAGCAUAGAGAUUUUCCUAUAAGGCAUCAGACUGUAAGUACCUGAAGCUUUGUGGGUUCAUGGUCUUAGUUGCAAAUCCUUUUCGAAAGGUAAGAAAAAGGCACACUGGUCCAUUGCCUGUACUUGAUCAAGCCCUGAUAUAAAUGCCAGGGAAUGUCUGAGUAACAUUAAUUUCCUUCCCUGCAUAUUUUCUGUGCUGAAUACUAAGGCUGUGAUGCUUCACUGUGGUCACUCCCAGGUAACAAGAUAUUACCAGGUAACCAAGAAACGUAUGAAUACGUAACCCAUGAAGCCCACUGUAACUUCCAAGUCAGUGCUGAUGAAUGGGUACAUAUUACAUAGUAGCUGAAUUCUACGCUUCUAUGUGCUAUAGGCACAAAGAUUGCUCUAGGAAUAAUGAGUAAAAACAUAUAUAUGAACAUAACGGGGCUUGAAUGAAUAACAGUCCAUAUACUUAAGGCCAAUGUGUUUCUUCUACUGCUUUGGUGAGGCUCAGUAAGUUAUAUUAUACCAGGUAGCAGAAGAGAAAACAUAUGGAAACUGAUUUUAAACUACAAAAUAGGCCACUAAUGCAGGUGAUUAAUUACCCUAUUCUGAUCACCUUCUAAUGUCUGAAGACCCAUGUUCAGCACUGGGAAUGACAAAGGGGGACAUUACCACAGAACUAGAAUUUACAAAAGAAUGCAUUAAAUAAAGCAUUAUACAGCUAUCGAUUGUUCCAUGUAUGCAAAUGAAUGAAUACUAACUACCUCUGAUGUAUCCGAUAUUGUUUUGGGUACAUGAAAAAUUCAUGAGUAACUGCCAUGAAACAAGAAUGUUUGCAUUCCAUACUAUUCAUUCACAAGGAAUGAGCCAAUGCUUAAUUUAAUCAGUCAAAACUUGAGUGAUAAGGGCAUGUUAAUACAAGAACAUUUGCCCAGGUCACAUUAUGGUUGUGGGUACUUUCUUAGUGUAAGACAAGUUUUCUAUAGCAAUAAAGCUGCCUAUAAAAUAGGCAUGGUCUCUAUGAGAUUUUCAUUGUACUUUUUGGCCCACAAUGGGAAGAAGAGUACAGUUAACAAGCUGGGUGUGGUAGCAUGUGCUCUGAGCUCAGGUAACUGAAGCAACAGGACCACUUAAGCCCAGAAAUUGGAGGCUAGCCUGGGAAGACCAUAAGGUCAAUCUCAAACCUGGAGGCUAAAUAUUGUCUGCCAUGUGUAUAUUCUCUUUCAUGGGUACUGGAGAGAUAACACAGACGUACAUUUCAGUGUGUCCACACUUGAGAAUAAUAUGUACAUUGGCAUUUUAUGAACUCGGAGGUACCAUAUAAAUGUAACAAUUUAUUUUCUUACUUGGUAUCAAUUUCCAGGCUUUUAAAAUUCUGCCACAUUUAUUAUACUGUGAAAAUAAAGUAAAUAAGUAGCUGUGGACCACUGAAUAUAUGAAGCAUUCAGCACUUGAUGAGUACAUACUGAAUGGCAGUCAUUUAUUACAAAACAGUGCCCUUGCUAGGCACUGGGAUGCAAAGAGAAUUCUCAUUGUCCUGUGUAUCUAAAGAAAUUAUGCAUAAGAUUAAUUUAUAAUUUGUAAACUGCCAUAUAUAUAUGCAAUAUUUGCCUGGUGUGCAAUGACUUUGCUUUUAUCCCAGGCAUGUACAACAGAUCUGUGUGGAUGGAGACUUUGUGAAGUCUACAGUUCUAUAAAGCCGGGACCUAACUGUUGGCUUUAUCAGUGAACAGUGAUUACUUUCUAAGUUUCAUAAUGGCUGAAACUUAAUCAGAAUGCUUAUCACCUAACACCACCUAAUUUGUGUAAGGCAGUGUGCUAAAUGAUACUUCCCAGCUGGCUUGACUGAGGAGGUGGAAAAGGUUUGAUUAAUGAGAGGUACUUUUUCCAUCCAGUUUCUUAAAUGUUGAAUGCUGCUGCCAGAGAUGAAUUACAAACACCUUGCCAGUAAAGGUGUUUUAUAGGGCCAGAGUCAGGUAAUCCCAGAGCAUGGGUAUCAGGGAACCAAAUGGGAAGAGGCCAGAGCAUCUGAUGGUAUGUGUACUCAGUGUGGUCCAGAACCUCUCAAACUAGAUGUACUGGCUGGAGGGACCAAGCGUGCAGAACACAACACCUAAUGAAACAUUGUAUAUAAAAUAUGCUAACCUAGGUCCUAAAACUAAAAUGUGAGGUGGACCUAGUGUUAGAUCACUGAUCAUAGAGGAGACAUGGUCUCAUAUAGCCCAGGCUGGUUCUAACUGGUUCUAACUGGUUACUGUCACAGCUUCUCAAGUGCUGAGAUUACAGAUGCGCUUACGCAUGCCCAGCCUGUAGAAUAUAUCUGAUUACUGAGUGAAUUAUAUUUUUUAAAGAAUUACGUAUUUUAUGUAUAUGAAUACACUGGCUGUCUUCAGACGCACCAGAAGAGGGCACCACAUCCCAUUACAGAUGGUUGUGAGCCACCAUGUGGUUGUUGGGAUUUGAACUCAGGACCUAGGGCUCUUAACCACUGAGUCAUCUCUCCAGCCUUCUGAGUAAAUAUUUUAACUCUAAUGGCUGUUUGCAAAACCCAACCAAGGCCAAGAUUCCUUCAACAUAAACUGGAGACCUUCCUAGCUAAGGAAGCUCCAAAAGUCAUUUUCUCAUUGGCCUAGCUUGGAGCCAGGACAGUCUGUCCUUUAAUUCAUUAUCCAUUCUCCUUUUCUUACUGUUGAAGUGUUUCAAAGGAGAAUCAAGAUGAAUCGAUAAUUCUAAACAUAUUUGUUCAUUGCCUGGCUCAGCGUCAUAUGAGCAAGAAGAAUAUACUAUCACACUCAUACUUUUAACUUAAGUGUGAUGAAAGUGCAGUUCUAAGUACUGAAAAGAACAAAGACAUUUAAAGAAUGCAACCCAAAGUGUACUUUACCUCAGUAGUUUCUGAGGGGACUGCAGUCACACCUUGAGACUACAGCUCUCACUUUAGCUGGGAAAGACAUCAAGGUGUGGAGAAGGCAAGUUAAAUAAAAAGGUGCUCCCCUCCUCAUGGGCAUGCUUGGUAGAGUGGAAAUAAUAAAAGAGGUUCUUUAUUUCCUCAGUUCCACACAUUGCAGAAGAUGCUACUGGAUGCUAAGUGCAACACAUUUGUUCCAAAAGGGCACUUAGUGUAACUUACAGAUGCCCUGGAAAGCAGAGUGAUGCUCUUUAUUAAACAUAAAUAUUAGCUCAAACGUUUUCUAGACUGAAGGACACUUUCCUCAAUUCCCACAAUUUGCCUCAGAGGUUGGAUACAGGAGGAAGGUCAUUAUUCAUUCAUUUGCUUUAUUGGUUCAGUCAUUUGCUUUAUUGGUUCGUCUGUUCUACAAGGAUUUGCAUGUCUCUUAGGCCUUCACUUGGCUCCUGAGACAUGGAAAAAGGAAACAUAGACAUAGCUUCCCAGGGAAGUGCUGGAUCUGGGGGUCUGUUUUCUGGGUAGUGGCACAACUUAGUCCUUAGUCUCCAAGUAAUAUGCAAUGUGAGUCCUCAUCCUCAUGUCUUCUCUGGCCACUGCAAUGAGUGGGAAGCUGGGCUUUGUAACAAGCCUGACCCUAAAGUUACAGAAACCCUCCACGCUAAGAAACUCAAUUUUCUAGGCCAUUUUAGCUAUGACUGUGACCACUAUUGGUCAGGAGGGAUGACAGCCAUCUAAGUUCCACAAUCUUAGGCUACUUUGCAUUAUCCUGGGGCAAACAAGCCAUUUUUGAGCUGCAGCAGGCUUUGAAAUACAUUGACUAAUUUUGCCUGUGCUCAUUUAAUCUUUUACCUUUUUACAUGCUAAUGCUCACAGUAAUUUAGAAAUGUUCUCCUUACUAUUAUAUACUCAAGGUGGUUUGCUAUGGUAAAAUAAUGCCAGAGGAUGAAAAUAACAUUAAUGCUUAACAUUCUUGCAUAAAAUUUAAGAAUAAUAAAAUUGACAACAAUCAGAAAACUGGAGGAACGAAAGACCAAAUUGAAAGAACUUGAAAAAGAUUAAAAAUGCCUGUGCUUUGACCCUUUCCAUUUUUCUUUCACUCACAGAGGGUGGGACAGGAGGCCGAGUGAAGGAAAGGGUCAAGCCUGUCUAUCUGGAAUCUAAGUUGGGACUUUAAUGCAGUUCCACAAAAUUGGUAUUAAUUCGUUAAAUGUUUCUGAAAAUGUAUUUUCAUCUAAAUGGCUAUCAGCUAAGCCUUGAGUCAGAUGGGAAUGAAACAGAUUAAGUCAAUGUGAUCUCUUUAUCCAAGUUGCCUUAGAGCUGAAGUCACAAUUUGCUGUAACGAAGCUUAUUCAUUGUAGCUUAUGCAUACUUUCAAAGUAUCUAGACUUUACUUAGUAAGCCAAUCAGAACAUUCAGGCAAAAGAAAAGGAACAGAGAAGAUGGAGCCAGGUUGAAGAGGUCUGGGAGUUCAAACAAAUUUUUUUUUUCAUUUUCAUUAAAACUCAAUUGGGCAUCAAAAGUGUUACUAAUAUUAGCUUUUAAUUAGUGGAAAUUGGCUGGAUUCAGUAAUAUCCCUUUAUGGGUAGGAAUGGGCUUACAUUUCUGGAAUUUGCAAAGGAAAAAAUAACUGAAAGCCUUCAUUUCACAGUUACUGCCAUCAAUAUUGCUACCGAUUAAGUACAUCCUACCAUCAUCUGCUUUGAUCACAUAAAUGAACAUUGUGAACCAAUCUGUUGUUGAAAGACUGGAGUCAUCUUCCCACCAACUGUGUAAAAACACAUGGAAGACACCUGGACUUUGUGAACGGAUGCGGAAUGCAGAACUUCCUGUUGACUCUUGGGUGUUUUGAAGGCUUG